rnacentral:rRNA from 1 species
AACGGACGCUGGCGGCAGGCUUAACACAUGCAAGUCGAGCGCCCCGCAAGGGGAGCGGCAGACGGGUGAGUAACGCGUGGGAAUCUACCGUGCCCUACGGAAUAGCUCCGGGAAACUGGAAUUAAUACCGUAUACGCCCCACGGGGGAAAGAUUUAUCGGGGUAUGAUGAGCCCGCGUUGGAUUAGCUAGUUGGUGGGGUAAAGGCCUACCAAGGCGACGAUCCAUAGCUGGUCUGAGAGGAUGAUCAGCCACAUUGGGACUGAGACACGGCCCAAACUCCUCCGGGAGGCAGCAGUGGGGAAUAUUGGACAAUGGGCGCAAGCCUGAUCCAGCCAUGCCGCGUGAGUGAUGAAGGUCUUAGGAUUGUAAAGCUCUUUCACCGGUGAAGAUAAUGACGGUAACCGGAGAAGAAGCCCCGGCUAACUUCGUGCCAGCCGCCGCUGUAA